GACGAACGCUGGCGGCGUGCCUAACACAUGCAAGUCGAACGGAGCAAUAGCAAUAUUGCUUAGUGGCGGACGGGUGAGUAACGCGUGAGUAACCUGCCUCAUACUGGGGGAUAACGUCGGGAAACCGGCGCUAAUACCGCAUAACAUUACUGGAUCGCAUGGUCUGGUAAUCAAAACUCCGGUGGUAUGAGAUGGACUCGCGUCCAAUUAGCUAGUUGGUGAGGUAAUGGCCCACCAAGGCGACGAUUGGUAGCCGAACUGAGAGGUUGAUCGGCCACAUUGGGACUGAGACACGGCCCAGACUCCUACGGGAGGCAGCAGUGGAGAAUAUUGCGCAAUGGAGGAAACUCUGACGCAGCAACGCCGCGUGAAGGAUGAAGGUUUUCGGAUUGUAAACUUCUUUGAUCGGGGACGAAAAUGACGGUACCCGAGGAACAAGCCACGGCUAACUACGUGCCAGCCGCCGCCGUAAGAC
rnacentral:rRNA from 1 species